rnacentral:rRNA from 1 species
GACGAACGCUGGCGGCGUGCUUAACACAUGCAAGUCGAACGGGCCUUGUCCCCUUUUUUUUGGGGGUGGGGUUAGUGGCGAACGGGUGAGUAACACGUGAGUAACCUGCCCCUCACUUCUGGAUAACCGCUUGAAAGGGUGGCUAAUACGGGGUGUUCUGGCCUGCUCGCAUGGGUGGGUUUGGAAAGAUUCGACCGGUUUUGGUUGUUUUGGUGGGGGAUGGGCUCGCGGCCUAUCAGCUUGUUGGUGGGGUGAUGGCCUGCCAAGGCUUUGACGGGUAGCCGGCCUGAGAGGGUGGGCGGUCACACUGGGACUGAGACACGGCCCAGACUCCUACGGGGGGCAGCAGUGGGGAAUAUUGCACAAUGGGCGCAAGCCUGAUGCAGCGACGCCGCGUGAGGGAUGGAGGCCUUCGGGUUGUGAACCUCUUUCGCCAGUGAAGAAGGUCCUGCUCUUUGUGGCGGGGUUGACGGUAGCUGGGUUAAUGAAGCGCCGGCUAACUACGUG